rnacentral:lncRNA from 1 species
ACCAGGCUGGCCUCAAACUCAGAAAUCCGCCUGCCUCUGCCUCCCAAGUGCUGGGAUUAAAGGCAUGCGCCACCACUGCCCGGUGUAACCCCUCUUUUUUUUUUUUCUUUUUUUUCUUUUUUGUUUUUUUUUCCAAAGAUUUAUUUAUUAGAAUAAGUUCACUGUAGCUGUCUUCAAAUGCACCAGAAGAGGGUAUCAGAUCUCAUUAUGGGUGGUUGUGAGCCACCAUGUGGUUGCUGGGAUUUGAACUCAGUACCUUUGGAAGAGCAGUCGGUGCUCUUACCCACUGAACCAUCUCACCAGCCCCAUAACCCCUCUUUUUAAUUUCAUUUUUUCCACCUUGAUGAUAGAAGAUUCCUGUUCUGAGAAUACCAUUGUGAUAGGGAAGGGACUAUUAUUGAGUGGGAGAGGGGCAGAGAGCCUCUCAUAGGUAUGAGGCCCUGGAUUCUAUCCCAAGCACUGCCCCCAAAGAAAAACAAAAACAAACCCCAAUUACCAAAGAAACAAUGUAUCAUUUUAUAGUAAUACUGCAACCCCCAGGGUAGAACUAUUUAACCAAAUAAUUUUUUCCUUUUUUUGUGAUAUGCCGAAGGCUACAAUCUGCCUUUCUUUGAGUUGAGAAAGUAAUAGGUAGUCAUCUGUAUGGAGAAAGUGACCUUUAGGCUCAGAAACAGAUCGCUCUCAGAGGCUCAGGGAAAAGAACCAUGACAAGGAGCAGCUAAAGAAAGAAAGACUCCUUUCCUUGGGGUUAAGGAAAAUUCAAUGUUGUAGACCCCUUUUUAGUAGUAUCAUUCCACAAAUGAGGUUUAAUAAAAUCUAUGAAAGGUGUGGUGGUCAUAAACAAGGAAGAUGGGAGAGGACAGAGAUUUAAGCAAUGAGGAUUAAAGCAGGAGUCAAGAAGGGAGGAGAUGGAUUAAAACUGCUAACAGGGACAAGGCAGCUGGAGAGUAUUCCCUCCAGGGAGUAAAGGAAAGAAGCCAGAGACUGUUGGGUUAGUUAUUGAUUCAGAGGAGGGAAUCACUUCUGGAGAAAAGCUAGACGAAGGAAUGAAUCUACUGCUCAAAGAGAUGCACUGAGAUUUCUAAGCAGGGAUAGGUUGCUUUUUCCUUUAUGUGAUGUUUCUCUAGAAGCUGUUGCUUUAAGACUUAAGUAGAUGCUGAUGUUCAUGGAUUUUAAGUCCUGUAUUCCUUUCAUUGAGUAUUGUCAGCUCAACUCCUUGGCACACAAUUGUUUUCGAUUUGCAUUCCUUUAUAUGUUAUUUUUUUUUCUACCUGGUAUAAUUCUGUGACUUCUUUUAUAUAGGAUUUUUAUUUAAUAUUUAAUGUUUUAAGUUUUCAGACAAUUGAUUUUUAUGGGUUCAAAUUAUGUGCUACAAAACCCCAAAGAAGGCGUUAAAGAAAAAAAAAUUUUCCUCGACUGUUGAUUUGACUAUAAUCAUUUGUUUGUUUGUUUGUUUGUUUAUAAAGAAACAGGGUGUCAUGUAGCCCAGGCCUGCCUCAACUCAUUCUAAACAAGGCUUAACAUUAAAUCCUGAUUUUUUUUUUUUUUUUUUUCCUCUCCACUUACCAAGUGGUAGGCUUACAUGUGAGUGUUACUAUACGGAAUCCUGCUUCCGUUUUUAUGGGAUCUUUAUUUAAAUAAUCCAGAUAAUGUAGUGAUUCUCUGGCAGGGCUACCAUUAAACAUUACCACACAUGGAAAUUAGUAUCUUUUCUAAUGGUGUCUGUAAUGUAAAUAGGGCCUUUUCUCUGUUCCCUAACUCCAGCUAUUUGUAUUAUUGGUCUUGUUUGCUAUGAUGCUAACUUUGGAGCUUGUAUGAUCUGGAAAACUUAAAAAUAGUCAUAGCUGGUGAGGACAUGGUGGCACACUCACCUUUAACCCCAGCAGAGGAGGCAGAGGCUGGUGGUUCUCUAUGAGCUCUGAAGCUACAUAGUAACAAUUCCAGUACCCUGGAAGCUGAGGCAGAAUUAGGCUGGCCUGGCUACAGAGUAACACCUAUCUGAAGUAAAGAAGGAAAUGAGAAGAAUGAUAGCUUAAAGUUAAAUGGCAGAUCCUGAUUGUUGGGUAGGGGUGAGCCCAAAAUUCUGUGUUUCAAACAAAUGUCAGAAUUAUCCCAGUGUUGUUGGUCCUCAGACCUUACUUUGAGCAACACAGUUGCCUAGUCAUGGGUUCUAGUGUUGGUGUUGAGAACUUUCAUAAUCAGAAGUACUAGAUCUUACAAAACUCUGGCAUGCUGAUGCUUAGAAAUUUUAAAUUUAUAGGUAGAUUAUAAAGUUCCUUGACUCCUACUUUUUUUUUUCUUUUUUUAAAUUUAUUUUAUGUAUGUGAUUACACUGUCACUCUCUUUGGGCACGUCAGAAGAGGGCAUCAGAUCCCGUGACAGAUGGUUGUGAGCCACCACGUGGUUGCUGGGAAUUGAACUCAGGAUCUCUGGAAGUGCACUCUUAACCUCUGAGCCAUCUCUACAGCCCGACUCUUAUCUUUUAUAGUAACAUUUUGUUAUAUUUGUCUCCAUUGUGCUAAAACAUUGUAUUAUUUAGCCAAAUGGUGAUGUCACCUUUGGGGAAGCAGAGAGUUCAAGGCCAGCCUGGUCUACAGAGCUAAUUCCAGGACAGCCUAGGCUGUCUC